AUGCGUGCGGCCCCGGCUCCCCCGGGGCUCGCCGGCCUCGUGCGUGCGCACGCGCGCUGUCCCCCGGAGGCGUCUGGGUGUGCGGAGCGCGCGCGCGCGGCUCGGAGGCGCACCUGUGAGGUGUCCCUUGAGGAGAGAGAGGGAGGGUGGGUGCGUGGAGCCCGCGGCCUGGGGCGCUUCAACCCCUCACUUGGAAGCGCCUCGCGUCCCAGCAGAGCCCUGCGAGCAUCCUACUCAGGUGAUGAGGAACCCUUCGUGCACCCAGCGCAGAACGCCGCUGCCGCUGGACGCCUCCAUUGUUUGACCACAACAAGGGCCGGAUUCUCACCCAGACCUGCAAAUCCAAGAGACACCUCUCUGGAAGAUAAGAGCUUCUUUCUCAAGAUCAAAAAAGGUCUGUGUUGCUGCUGUCACAUUUACAUGAAAUUAAUUAUGGAAUCAAUAGCAGUUUUCCGGACAGAAAGGCAUUUUCAAUGUAUUCUGUUUCUGUUACAGGAGACGAGUGAUACCUCUGUAGGGAUCCUCAGGAGGAAGGCGACGUACUUGGAACCCAAGGAGCUUGCUUCCUGGGAAGGCUCCUGUCUGAUGUGGAGGAGGCAGAAUGUCCCACUGACUCUUCGAGGGGAGCUUACAGGGGAUCGAGACCAGCACGCAGUAUCUCACCCUCUACGACAAAGGACACCGUGCAGUCCUUUUCCUAGAAGUGAGAAGUCCGAGACUGUUCUAGAGGCAGAAGAUUCUAGGGGCUUAAAAACGCAAAGGGGAGGCCAUUCUUGCAUCAGAUUGGAGUGAGGUCCCCAGUGCUGGAACAGGCUGUGUUUAGAUUCUCAAAUAAACCUCGUCAUGUCACUUGGUGCUGUGUGCUUCUGUGUUUCAUUUCUGUGUCCCACUUCACUUCCCUGGAGUACAAAAUGAAGGGAAUAUGUCUUUAUAACGUCUAAAUCAUUUGAGCCAUCGUAAUGAAACCCGGCAGUUAGGCUGUUGUGUCCGAGCGUAAGCCCCUAACCCCUAGUUUUGGGCUGCAUCCCAUAGGUGUUGCAAUGAUACACUCUCAUGGUUACUGUUUUGUAAACCGUUUUUAUUGUUUCUUUUACCUGUUGGGCCCACGAGUUGAUUUCAUUUGUUUUCAAUUUUAUCUCUUUUUCAGUAAUCACUGUAAAUUUUCUGCUUUGAAGAACUCACACACACACACAUACACACAGACACACACACAUCAAUCAAACAAGGAGUCUUUCCCUGGGAAAAGUUGGAGGAGAAGGGACCUCCCCUCCAAAAAAAAAAAAAAAAAAUCACAUUUCAUACAAUUUUAGAAUUUUAAUUAGAAUAGAAAAAUAAGGUUAUUUUUCUUUCCCACCUGAGUUUGUAGACUGAAAUUUGUACCUACUACACAAGCUUGUGUGACAAUGAAUUACGGAGA
rnacentral:lncRNA from 1 species